rnacentral:lncRNA from 11 species
UAUGAUAUAUUAUCAUAUAUUAUUAGAUUCUAUUAUUAUUAUUAUUAUUACUAUUAAAUCCUAGAGUUGGGAGGGACCUCCAAAGGCAAUGCAUCCCAAACCAUUUUGCCAGAAAGGCAAGCACCAUCGAAACCUUACCGACAGAUGGCCACCCGGCCUUGCGGGCCAUGGCUGCGCGGGCUCCGUCCCGUCAUUCGUUCCUUCCCUGACAGGCCAUGAAGAGGAGAAAGAGAAGGAAGAUGUCUCCCUCCAGGCCGGCCUGAGGGAGAGGACCAGCCCUGAGUCUCGGCUUAUACUGGAGUCAAUGUUUUCCCAGUUUUUUUUGGUGGUAAAAUUAGGUGCCUCAGCUUAUAUUCAGGUGAUUCCUUGGAGAAGGACAUCUGCGAAGGGGGGCGGCUUCCGCUGAACAAGUAUCCCGAAUCUUUACAAUAAAAAUAAAUUAAAAUAAUUAGAUCUCUCUGUAUAGAUAUAUAAGUCUUAUUUCUAACUCUAACAGUCAACGUUGGCUGGGAAAUAACUAUCGAACCGCGUUGGAGGACGUAGACCCCGGCCUGCGGACCGUACGCAGCCCUUUGAGGUCCUUUCCUCAGCUUUCUGCCCUAAAGUUUAGACAAGUGAUUCCCAAAGUGGGGCGCUACUGCCCCCUGGUGGGCGCUGGAGCGAUCCAGGGGGCGGUGAUGGCACCUACCCUGUUUCCCCUAAAAUAAGACAUCCCCAGAAAAUAAGACCUAGUAGAAGUUUUGCUGAAUUGCUAAAUAUAAGGCCUCCCCCAAAAGUAAGACCUAGCAAAGGUUUUGUUUGGAAGCAUGUCCGCCAAACAGAACACCAGAGCAUGCAGGAUCGGUAAAUGUACGUACCAUAGAGUGUUGUACAUGGAAAUAAUGGUAGUAACAAGAAAUUCUUGAUAGGAUUCACAAUUUGUCUGGUUACGCUGGUUUGUGAUGACAACUACUGUACAGUAUAUAAUAAAUGUUCAUUUUUUUGUUCAACAAUAAAUGUGAAUUCUUCAUGGAAAAAUAAGACAUCCCCUGAAAAUAAGACCUACAGCAUCUUUGGGAGCAAAAAUUAAUAUAAGACACUGUCUUAUUUUUGGAGAAACACGGUAUUAGGACACGGGGGCGGGGCCUCUUCCCAAGUGUUGGAGACAGGGCUGAGCCCCUGAGGCACCUGUUAGGACACAGGGGGCGGAGCUAGAGGAGUGGGCGUGGCUUCCCAAGAGCCCAAGACAGUGCUGAGUAUCUAUACCUUUCCUGAGGCGCUUGUUGGGACACAGGGGGUGGAGCUAGGGAAGGGGGCGGGGCCUCCUUCCAAGAGCCCGAGACAUGGCUGAGCCUCUAUACCAGGGGUCCCCAAACUUUUUAAGCAGAGGGCCGGUCCACAAUCUUUCAGACUGUUGAGGGGUCGAUUUAUCAUUUGAAAAAAAUACAAACGAAUUCCUAUGCAUACUGCACAUGUCUUAUUUGUAGUGCAACAACAACAACAACGAAAGAACAAUACAAUAUUUAAAAAUGAAAACAAUUUUAAACAACAUAAACCUAUUAGGAUUUCAAUGGAAAGUGUGGGCCUGCUACUGGCCAAUGAGAUAGUCAAGUUAAUUAGGAUUGUUGUUGUUGUUGUGUGCCUUCAAGUCAUGUCAGAUUCUGGCCGAGCCUAAGUCUAAAAUUAAUUAUUUAUUUACUACAUUUAUAUCCCACCCUUCUCACCCCGAAGGGGACUCAGAGCAGCUGUAUGUACAUACAAUAUAUUAUAUUAUUAGCAUAACACAAUAUUAGCAUUAUAUAUUACUAUAUUGAACUAUAUCACUAUACUAUUCUAUAAUAUGUAAUAUAUAACAUAUAAUUAAUAUUAUUAUAUGGU